AGCCCUUGAACCCUGAUGGUAUUAUUCAGGGACCUUAAUUCCAGCAUGUCUAAUUUUGUUUAAAAAAAUUCCUGCUCUUCCUCCAGGAAGCACAAGGAAAAUUAUAGUUUCCCAGUUCUCACAUUUUAGUCUCUAAAUUAAAGCUGUC
rnacentral:lncRNA from 11 species